rnacentral:tRNA from 1 species
GCUCAGUUGGCUAAGAGUCUGGCUCUUGAUUUCAGCUCAGGGUCGUGAGUUCAAGCCCCACAUUGGGCU